UACCUAUUCCUGAAAUCUUCAAAAUCCACCUGGAUGUACCCAAACACGUCGAGUUGAAGCAGACCAAGGGUUAUUAGGUGGUUCCAUUUUGUGCAUACCCCUUGCCCCCAGCACUGCCAUUCUAAGCCACACCUUUCAAGGCACAAACUCCUGCUGGUGGCAAAACUCCUUUCAUUCCUUCACCCUUCGUUCCCAUUGUCUGAGCUUCCAACGUGGGUGCCAGUAGAUUAUUAUGCUAGUGAACCUCACCAUU